rnacentral:misc_RNA from 1 species
CUCCGGCCUCAGGACCGGAAACUGUAAGCAAAGUUGUACUAUGCUUUUUAAGCUCAUUCCGCAGCUUCGCCUUCUUAACCCAUCUUUUCCUCCCAUGAAGUCUCCUCUACUCGUCAGCUCCUCCAGGGCCAUCCCUGUUCUGUCUCGGAUAUUCCCUUUCCGGCUCAAAUAUCUAUGUUUUGGCCUUCAUCUCAAUUCGCAUCUCGGCGUUCACCGAUUUUCCACUAGGUCACUUCGACCCAGACCUGAAUUCAGCCGUGUUGGUAGUGACAGAAGAGAUGUUAGAGGUUCUAAGAGUUUGAUAGAAGAUGAAGCCGAACUCAGUGAUUGGGUCAGUGACUUGAGGAGCGGUUAUUCCCAUGGUAUCAACAGGGAAAAUGAUUCAUAUUCUGAUAGGGAUUCUGAUAGGGCUUUUAAUAGAGCUGAGAGCAGCAGAGGUAGGGAUAGAAUUCAGGACACGGCUAGAAGUAGAGGAAGAGUUAGGGAGGGUUUUUCAACUAAGAGAAGAAGGGACAAUAUCUCGGACGAGUUUGUUGAGUCUGAUAGGAAGAGAGUUCACAAACAGGCUGAUUCAUUUUUGAGGAAUUCACAAGCAAGUGAGCGAUUUGAUAGUGGAAUUGUGAAAGUUGAAGUUGGGAAUAAAGAUUUAAUGAAUGGAAGGAGAGGAGGGAGAGGGAUGGAUUCAGGGUUUAGGAGACAUGGAAAGGGAUUAGGGGGAAAAACAGAUUUUGUUGAUGGUGAUAAAAAUGAAGUUAAUAUUGAUGAGAAAGAGAAUGAGAGGAAGGAGUUAAUUGAGCAUCUCAAGGAUUUGGUUGAUGAUGAGAGUGAUGAUACUGAUGAAGAUCUUCAUGAUGAUGAGAUCUUAAAGAGAAAUACAUCUUCUUCAUUUGAUUUGGACAAAGAAAGGCCAAGUUCACCUGUAAAAUACUAUUCUUAUUUAAGCGAGUCUAGAUUUGAUCAGUGUUCGAUUUCUCCUUUGUCAUUAAAAGGAAUCAAGGAUGCAGGAUAUGAGAAAAUGACUGUAGUUCAGGAGGCCACUCUUCCAGUUAUACUAAAAGGUAAGGAUGUUCUUGCUAAGGCUAAAACAGGCACUGGAAAAACUGUAGCAUUUUUGCUUCCAGCAAUUGAAGUAGUUGUAAAAUCUCCUCCUAUUGGUCGAGAUCAAAAGCGACCCCCAAUUCUUGUGCUUGUUAUAUG